UACGUAGGCAGCGAGCGUUGUUCGGAAUUACUGGGCGUAAAGAGUGUGUAGGCGGUGCUAUAAGUUCGGCGUGAAAUCUCCCGGCUCAACUGGGAGGGUGCGCCGAAAACUGUAGUGCUCGAACGUGGGAGAGGAAAGCGGAAUUCCUGGUGUAGCGGUGAAAUGCGCAGAUAUCAGGAGGAACACCAAUAGCGAAGGCAGCUCGCUGGGACGGUACUGACGCUAAGGCGCGAAAGCGUGGGGAGCGAGCAGG
rnacentral:rRNA from 1 species